rnacentral:rRNA from 1 species
CAGCAGCCGCGGUAAUACGAAGGGUGCAAGCGUUACUCGGAAUUACUGGGCGUAAAGCGUGCGUAGGUGGUGGUUUAAGUCCGUUGUGAAAGCCCUGGGCUCAACCUGGGAAUUGCAGUGGAUACUGGGUCACUAGAGUGUGGUAGAGGAUAGUGGAAUUUCCGGUGUAGCAGUGAAAUGCGUAGAGAUCUGGAGGAAUACCGGUGGCGAAGGCGGCCCCCUGGACAAAGACUGACGCUCAGGUGCGAAAGCGUGGGGAGCAAACAGGAUUAGAUACCCCCGUAGUCCCUGUCUCUUAUAC